GAUCUUGUCUGCUCUUGGAAGCUAAGCAAGUUUGGGCCUGGUUAGUACUUAGAUGG
rnacentral:rRNA from 1 species